ACGAACGCUGGCGGCGUGCUUAACACAUGCAAGUCGAACGAAGAGCGAUGGAAGCUUGCUUCCAUCAAUCUUAGUGGCGAACGGGUGAGUAACGCGUAAUCAACCUGCCCUUCAGAGGGGGACAACAGUUGGAAACGACUGCUAAUACCGCAUACGAUCUAAUCUCGGCAUCGAGGAUAGAUGAAAGGUGGCCUCUACAUGUAAGCUAUCACUGAAGGAGGGGAUUGCGUCUGAUUAGCUAGUUGGAGGGGUAACGGCCCACCAAGGCGAUGAUCAGUAGCCGGUCUGAGAGGAUGAACGGCCACAUUGGGACUGAGACACGGCCCAGACUCCUACGGGAGGCAGCAGUGGGGAAUCUUCCGCAAUGGACGAAAGUCUGACGGAGCAACGCCGCGUGAGUGAUGACGGCCUUCGGGUUGUAAAGCUCUGUUAAUCGGGACGAAAGGCCUUCUUGCGAAUAGUGAGAAGGAUUGACGGUACCGGAAUAGAAAGCCACGGCUAACUACGUG
rnacentral:rRNA from 1 species